UUGUUACAUAUUAGUUAAGAUGCCUUUUGGGCUUAAUAGGGAAUCUGGUGAAAGUCCAGAACUGUCCCCGCAACUGUAAGUGUGGACGAAAUAGACAAACCACUGUUUCGUAUAUUAAUAGAUAUACGAAAACGGGAAGGAUCUAAAGUAGGAAGAUACACAAGUCAGGAGACCUGUCUUAACUUGUAAAGUUUC
rnacentral:ncRNA from 2 species